rnacentral:rRNA from 1 species
GACGAACGCUGGCGGCGUGCCUAAUACAUGCAAGUUGAGCGCUGAAGGUUGGUACUUGUACCAACUGGAUGAGCAGCGAACGGGUGAGUAACGCGUGGGGAAUCUGCCUUUGAGCGGGGGACAACAUUUGGAAACGAAUGCUAAUACCGCAUAAAAACUUUAAACACAAGUUUUAAGUUUGAAAGAUGCAAUUGCAUCACUCAAAGAUGAUCCCGCGUUGUAUUAGUUAGUUGGUGAGGUAAAGGCUCACUAAAGCGAUGAUACAUAGCCGACCUGAGAGGGUGAUCGGCCACAUUGGGGCUGGGACACGGCCCAAACUCCUACGGGAGGCAGCAGUAGGGAAUCUUCGGCAAUGGACGAAAGUCUGACCGAGCAACGCCGCGGGAGUGAAGAAGGUUUUCGGAUCGUAAAACUCUGUUGGUAGAGAAGAACGUUUGGGAGAGUGGAAAGCUCAUCAAGUGACGGUAACUACCCAGAAAGGGACGGCUAACUACGUG